rnacentral:misc_RNA from 1 species
GUGAGUCAUCGAAUCUUUGAACGCACAUUGCGCCCGCCAGCAUUCUGGCGGGCAUGCCUGUUCGAGCGUCAUUUCAACCCUCAGGCCCUGCCUGGCGUUGGAGGACUGCGCACGCAGCCUCCCAAAGCGAGCGGCGGCGGCGCCCCGAAACCGAACGCAGUAGUUUUCUCUCGUUCUGGGUCCGGGUCGUUGUCCUGCCGGAAAACCCCCUUCUAUUCAAUGGUUGACCUCGAAUCAGGUAGGAAUACCCGCUGAACUUAAGCAUAUCAAUAAGCGGAGGA